rnacentral:lncRNA from 1 species
AAAAACGAAAACUUUUAAUGGUUGCAUAGUUUUAAAAUCAACAUAUUACAUGUAUCAGUCAACAAUAUUUGGAUUUUCCCGUUGCUAAAUCUAUUUCGUAAAUUAUUACGAACACAUAUAUUAACAGUUGUCUGAACAUAGAAUAAUUACAUCAAUAAAAAAAAAAUAACUAGAAUAUUUUACCAACUUAUACUGAUUUUACUCUUAAAGAUAUCAGUUUAAAUUCUGGCAGUCUGGUAAUUUCCAAAUUGUAAUAUCAGUAAAGAGUAACAAAUGACUGUAUCAGUAACGUGUGUUUUGUUUUCAUUAAGCACUGCGUCAAUAUCACUGCUUAAGGACUAUUGGUCUAAUAUGGUAUAAUCAGCUCGGUUAUCAGUGGUUUGGUACUGACAUUAUUAAAACAUACCUUUCUAAAAUUGGCCGAUAAAAAUAGUAAAUAUUUAGAUUCAACAUGCAAAGUAAACCUUACAUGGAUUUAGCUGUUAUUAUUAAGUUCCUUUUAAUCAAUCAGCUCUUCAUAUUUUUCUAUUCUUAAACCUCGUUUGCUUUCAAAUAUUUGGUUUUGAGCGUUCCUGUUGAAGUUAAGUCUAGAAAAGAACUUUGGACAAAUAAAAUAAAGAAAAUGUUAUUUUUAUUUUUAUCAUCAGUUACAUCGAAUUAUAACAGUUACUUUUAACUGAACUGGCACCUUUUUUUAAAAGGUUUUAUGAGAUGAAAUUACAGAAAAUAUUCAAUAUAUUCAAGUUCAUUUUAUAAAUAAUUAGCAACUUUCAAGUUGAACAAAGUAAAGGCAUUGAUUACGGAUGGUUGAAAUUUUAAAAGAAAGAAAUAAGUAAAGCGAACACUUUUUUUCUCAUUAUGUAUCGUUUGAUCACAUCGUCAAAGACACAUAUUUUAUAUAAAGAUUGCUGUAAGAUAAUUACAUUUAAAAGUUAAUCCCCAAUAUUUUUAUUACAUGAUUUGAUCAUUUAUGACGCAACAACACAAUGAAAUAUUCAUGCUAUGUUUUCCUUAUUUUAUAGACAGUUCACUGUGUUAACAAUUUUGGAAGAAUAAACAUAAUGAUAUUCCCAAUUUUGAAGGUUUUCCUUUAUCUAUGACCCUUCAAUAGAAAUCCUUGAAGAAUUUCAACUACAAAACUGAACUUUUUAGAUAUUAAAUAAUAUUUUACGUCAUAAUUUUACAUUAUAUUUUGUCUUGGUUUUUACAUUAGUUCAGAACAGAACAAAUGUUUUAAACAAAUAAAUAACAAUAUGAAUUCAUACAAAUAAUGUUUUCAAUAACCGUUUCAUGUCCAGUAGUUCUUAGCAAAAUACUAAAAGAUAAAAAGUGACGUCAGGUGAGUGAAUGCGAGAGCGACUAACGAGUCAAAACUUAAUUGUCUUAUUGCAACCUUUAAUAUUCGCCCAAGACCAGAAACUAAGCGGAUAUUAAAAAUGUUUUAUUAUUAUUUCUAUCACAUUGUUUCUUUACAAGAAACACGGAAAUACUUCAUUCUUUUGAAUUUAAAUUUCUUACUCGUGAACAUAUAUAAGGGACCGUUCAAUAUUUACCAGAUGGAUGGGCCGGUGCAUUCUUAAUAUUGUUUUAUCAAAAAAGCUAACGCCCAUCCUUUUAAAUUCUGAAAAAAAGUCCUUGUCCAUCUAAAAAAAUCUAUAAAAAAGUCCUUGCCCCUCUAAAACUAUAAGACAAUCAAAAAUGAUUUAGGUUCUUUUUCUAUUUUAAAGUUUUUAAAAUUUUAUGUCUUGAAAUCAAAGAAUAAACUUUGGUGUUAAUACAAAAUUUAAAAUGUGCUAGUUAAUUCCAUAUAUAUGUAUACAUUUAGUUCAAAUAUGAAUAUUCCUUUAUCUGUUCUACUUUUGGAAAAAGAAAUUAUGGUCCUUUUAAGCAAAUAUAGGCAGGCAUGUUUUUGAAUUUGAUGCAGCCUUUUUCGCCUAUUAAUUAAUUCCCUAAAUUUGACAACUAAACACCAAACUAUCAAAAAACCUAGCAUUCUGUAAGAUUGAUAUAUAAAUGAGAAAGCUGUACAGUUAUAUGAAAAUCUAAGUUGAUUUGAAAAAGUUAAAAAAAAAUUUAAAGGUGACCAGUCACCAUCCAAAUUUGGUCCAAACUUAAAAUUGAAGCUUUUUUUAAAGCUAUUAACUAAAUCCAUAAAAAUGACAGCAAAAAAACAAAGUACUAAACAGCCUGGCAUUCAGUAAGAUCAAUAUAAAAAUGAUUUAGCAGUAGAGUUUUAUGAAAAUGCAAGUUGAUUUGAAAAAGUUA